UCAGCACCGCACGUGAAUCUUCGUCUGCUUUAUUUCAUCAUUUUCAUCGAUUGGAAGUUGCAACAUCACAUCCGGAAUGGUAUUUACGUCAAGAAUGGCUUUGAGAAGAGAACGCAACGUCGAAAACAAAAAUGGAUUUCCAAGCUCUAAAACUCGGUUCAGACUACUCAUAAAACAGAAAAGCAGAGUCGAUAAUGGAACGAGAACACACCAAUGUUUGAAGCAAGAAACAAAAAUCUACCAGACUGGUUAAGCCCUGCUCAUGAUUCAGUUACAGUUAGUUGUUAAAGUGGUCAGGUUAGUUUUGAGCUGAGACCUCAUUUGGACUUAUCAGUUAGCUCGAAAAAACUGCUUGUGAGAACUUAUCAGUUAUUUUAGUUGUUAACUGGGUUGUUAUGUGAUUGUGAUUGAACUGAACUGUUAGUAUAAACUGAAGCAGGGCAUUUGUGAUGGCUUUGUUAUGCAGCCACGACUGUCAUUAAUUCUGCUACAGUAGGAAAAGAAAACUGCUUUACUGUGAUUGAGGUCUGCUUAAUUAUUAGCUCAUUUGAAUUUUAAUUGUUAGUUCUGUAAUUUCAGAGGCAUGCUAGUUUUGAAUUCAAACAGGGACAAUUAGUGUGCUUGCUUGGGAAUUUUGCAUUGCCAAUGCUGAUACCGUGUCACCGCAUGUGUUGCCAUGAGUUUUCUUCCACUACAUAGCUAAGGAACACUCAACAUUACUUUCCUGCUACAAGUCUGCCAAAGGAUGCUGCUAAAAAGGGCUCAUGUAGGACUUAGCAUUUGGUUAUGACUUCAUGUUAUGGACAUUUGAAUGGCAAAAACAUGGCUUGAAGUAAAAUGAGGUUUACUUGUGAAUAAAGAAACUUGGUCAUGGAGGUUGAAUGAGAAGAUGGAAAGGAUAAGGGCUCCAUGUAGAAGUUGAGUUUUAGGGUUAGGACCAUGGAAUUAGGUUAGUUGACUUUGGUCAACUGGUUGACCAAAACGUCAAUAAUUUACCAAAAGUCAACUAUGGGUCAAACAUCAAUUAUAGGUCAAACUUCAUUCUCUUGUAGUUUUUUGUAUGGAACUUUGUAAAUGAUAUUUGUUUAAUUGAAUGAACAAAUUUUGAAUGAAAUGAUUUAAA